rnacentral:rRNA from 1 species
UGUGUUUAUAGGAUUUAAAUAUUACGUAAUAUAGGAAUAUGGAAAAUAUGUUUAUAGGGGUGAUAGGCUUUUCAAGUACAUUGAUAACUUGAUAUGCAAUAAAAGUAUUUAGUAUUUGAUCACAUUACGAAAGUUAAGCUUCGUAAUAUAUAUUAAUAUUAGAAAUUAUUUUCUUUAUAGUUUAAAAACUAAAUAGUGUAAUAAAUAAUAAUAAAUUAUUUUAAUUUAUAGAAUAAAUUGCAUUAUUAUUUCUAAUUAACUAAUUAAUAAUGUUAAUAUAAGUAAUUUUAUAAGUAAGUUAUAGGAACUCGGCAAAUCUAUUUUUCGACUGUUUAUCAAAAACAUAACUGUGUGUUAUUAUACUCAGCUUUUCCUGCUCAAUGAUAUAUUUAAUAGCCGCAGUACCCUGACUGUGCAAAGGUAGCAUAAUCAGUUGGCUUUUAAUUAAGGUCUAGUAUGAAUGGAAGAACGGAAAAUUGCUGUCUUUAAUUUAUUAAUAGGAAAUUAGUUUGUAAGUGAAAAUACUUACACUUAUAUAAAAGACGAGAAGACCCUAGAAACUUCAAAGAUUUUGUUGGGGCGACAGAAUUACAUAAAACUAGUUCUAAUUAACACGACGUUAAUACAGAUAGAUUAAGUUACUCUAGGGAUAACAGCAUAAUUUUUAUAGUUUGUGACCUCGAUGUUGGACUAGGAAGUUAGUUAUUUAAAAGACAAUUAACAAUGCUCUGUUCGAGCU